rnacentral:rRNA from 1 species
CAGCAGCCACGGGAAUACGUAGGGUGCGAGCGUUGUCCGGAAUUACUGGGCGUAAAGAGCUCGUAGGUGGUUUGUCGCGUCGUUUGUGGAAUACCGCAGCUUAACUGCGGGGUUGCAGGCGAUACGGGCAUAACUUGAGUGCUGUAGGGGAGACUGGAAUUCCUGGUGUAGCGGUGGAAUGCGCAGAUAUCAGGAGGAACACCGAUGGCGAAGGCAGGUCUCUGGGCAGUAACUGACGCUGAGGAGCGAAAGCAUGGGGAGCAAACAGGAUUAGAUACCCGAGUAGUCCCUGUCUCUUAUA